rnacentral:rRNA from 1 species
GACGUAGGGCGCGAGCGUUGUCCGGAUUUAUUGGGCAUAAAGAGCUCGUAGGCGGCUCAUUGCGUCAACCGUGAAAACCAGCAGCUCAACUGUUGGCUUGCGGUUGAUACGGGUGGGCUGGAGUUCGGUAGGGGAGACUGGAAUUCCUGGUGUAGCGGUGAAAUGCGCAGAUAUCAGGAGGAACACCGGUGGCGAAGGCGGGUCUCUGGGCCGAUACUGACGCUGAGGAGCGAAAGCGUGGGGAGCGAACAGG